rnacentral:rRNA from 1 species
GCCAGACUCCUACGGGAGGCAGCAGUGGGGAAUAUUGCGCAAUGGGGGCAACCCUGACGCAGCAACGCCGCGUGAUUGAAGAAGGCCUUCGGGUUGUAAAGAUCUUUAAUCAGGGACGAAAAAUGACGGUACCUGAAGAAUAAGCUCCGGCUAACUACGUGCCAGCAGCCGCGGUAAUACGUAGGGAGCAAGCGUUAUCCGGAUUUACUGGGUGUAAAGGGCGUGCAGCCGGGCUGACAAGUCAGAUGUGAAAUCCCGCGGCUCAACCGCGGAACUGCAUUUGAAACUGUCAGUCUUGAGUACCGGAGAGGUCAUCGGAAUUCCUUGUGUAGCGGUGAAAUGCGUAGAUAUAAGGAAGAACACCAGUGGCGAAGGCGGAUGACUGGACGGCAACUGACGGUGAGGCGCGAAAGCGUGGGGAGCAAACAGGAUUAGAUACCCCGGUA